rnacentral:lncRNA from 1 species
GCAGGAUAUAACUAGAUCAUCAAGCGCUACAUUAUAUUUACUGGGCUGAUAUGAACUUGAAUGAUACUUGAGAAAAGUUUCUCCCACCUAAGGAUGUAAGCAAUACUUGUGUUAUUUUAUACUUAUAUACCUAUUUGAUAUUUUAUCUUGAAAGGUAACCAAAUGGGGAGAUAAGUCCGUUCCAAAAGAAUGGCUUGUAUGUAUCCAUGAAUUAUUAAUGCAAAUUUUACAGAUUGUAAGAUGGAUACAUUGAUAAUACACUGC